GGAAGUAAAAGUCGUAACAAGGUUUCCGUAGGUGAACUGCGGAAGGAUCAUUACAGAAAGUAAACGCGGAUCGAACCGCGAACUUCUAAACCUUUGACGAUUGACUCAUGUUGCCUCGGCGGGUUCUCCCGCCAGAGGAUACAUCAAAACUCCUGUUUUAACGGUGUUGUCUGAGCUACAAGCAACGAAUCAAAACUUUCAACAACGGAUCUCUUGGUUCUGGCAUCGAUGAAGAACGCAGCGAAAUGCGAUAAGUAGUGUGAAUUGCAGAAUUCAGUGAAUCAUCGAAUCUUUGAACGCACAUUGCGCCCCUUGGUAUCCCGAGGGGCAUGCCUGUUCGAGCGUCAUUUCACCACUCAAGCCUGGCUUGGUGUUGGGCGACGUCCCCUUUGGGGACGCGCCUCGAAACGCUCGGCGGCGUGGCACCGGCUUUAAGCGUAGCAGAAUCUUUCGCUUUAAAAGUCGAGGCCCCGUCUGCCGGAAGACCUACUCGCAAGGUUGACCUCGGAUCAGGCAGGGAUACCCGCUGAACUUAAGCAUAUCAAUAAGCGGAGGAAAAGAAACCAACAGGGAUUGCCUCAGUAACGGCGAGUGAAGCGGCAACAGCUCAAAUUUGAAAUCUGGCUCUUUCAGGGUCCGAGUUGUAAUUUGUAGAGGAUGCUUCGGCGUGGGCUCCGGUCUAAGUUCCUUGGAACAGGACGUCAUAGAGGGUGAGAAUCCCGUAUGUGAUCGGUUGCCUUUGCCAUAUGAAGCUCCUUCGACGAGUCGAGUUGUUUGGGAAUGCAGCUCUAAAUGGGAGGUAAAUUUCUUCUAAAGCUAAAUACUGGCCAGAGACCGAUAGCGCACAAGUAGAGUGAUCGAAAGAUGAAAAG
rnacentral:rRNA from 1 species